GUGCCAGCAGCCGCGGUAAUACCGGCAGCCCGAGUGAUGUCCCAUAUUAUUGGGCCUAAAGCGUCCGUAGCUGGCCGACCAAGUCUCCCGGGAAAUCCGCCUGCUCAACAGGUGGGCGCCCGGUGGAAACUGUGCGGCUUGGGACCGGAAGGCGCGACGGGUACGUCCGGGGUAGGAGUGAAAUCCCAUAAUCCCGCACGGACCACCGAUGGCGAAAGCACUUCGAGAAAACGGAUCCGACAGUGAGGGACGAAAGCCAGGGUCUCCAACCGGAUUAGAAACCCUGGUAGUCC
rnacentral:rRNA from 1 species